GUCUUAAAAUGGCAGAAUAAGGCUUUUUCAAUGAUCUUUCACGCCGGUAACCGGGGUUCGAAUCCCCGUGGGGACGCCA
rnacentral:tRNA from 1 species